rnacentral:rRNA from 1 species
CCUACGGGAGGCUGCAGUGGGGAAUAUUGCACAGUGGGCGCAAGCCUGAUGCAGCCAUGCCGCGUGUGUGAAGAAGGCCUUCGGGUUGUAAAGCACUUUCAGCGGGGAGGAAGGCGGUGAGGUUAAUAACCUCAUCGAUUGACGUUACCCGCAGAAGAAGCACCGGCUAACUCCGUGCCAGCAGCCGCGGUAAUACGGAGGGUGCAAGCGUUAAUCGGAAUUACUGGGCGUAAAGCGCACGCAGGCGGUCUGUCAAGUCGGAUGUGAAAUCCCCGGGCUCAACCCGGGAACUGCAUUCGAAACUGGCAGGCUAGAGUCUUGUAGAGGGGGGUAGAAUUCCAGGUGUAGCGGUGAAAUGCGUAGAGAUCUGGAGGAAUACCGGUGGCGAAGGCGGCCCCCUGGACAAAGACUGACGCUCAGGUGCGAAAGCGUGGGGAGCAAACAGGAUUAGAUACCCGUGUAGUC